rnacentral:snRNA from 1 species
AAUUGGAGCCUUGGCUUUUUUACUGGGCCAGUGUCCCCUCCUCCUUCACUGUGUCACGUGCACCCCACCUGAAGCUGCAGGCUCAGUGGAAAGGGAUGACCUUCCCCCAUAGAGAAGGGCCAUUCUUCCAUCAAGGGUCUAUGAGUACUCAGCCAUAAAAAAGAAUGAAAUAAUGCCAUUUGCAGCAACAUGGAUGGACCUGGAGAUCAUCACUUCUAAGUGAAGUAAGCCAGAAAGAGAAAGAAAAAUGCCAUAUGAUAUUGCUU